rnacentral:tRNA from 1 species
GGAGGGAUGCGGGAGUGGCUUAACCGGCACGACUGGAAAUCGUGUAGGGGGUAAAAUCUCCUCGUGGGUUCGAAUCCCACUCCCUCCGCCA